GAGUCCGUUCAGAUAUUUUGGUGCUGCAGUAACAUCUCUCACAUCCUCCUUCAAAAGUCUUGCUAAACACAAUGUCUGUAAGUAAUGAUGUUUGUAUACAUUAACACCGCAUGUCUGUUGUUAUAUUUGUCAUGUAGACAUUUCUGAAGCUAGUUCAUGGCUGUUUAUGCUGGUCACUCAACUGAUUUAGCUAUUUAGCUAUAUGCGGUAGCUUUUAUUGACUGUACUGUAAUGCUGUUACUGAUAUGUGUUGUUGUAUCUGUUUCAGUUUCACAAACUUUAUUGAUAAACUCAACAAACGGCAUAGUGUCUCCUGUGGCUUUAUUGAUGACUGUUUAGCUGGCUGGAUAGCUACGGAGUUAGUGAGACCAGUGAUAGGUAUUGUCUAAUUUCUAAUAUCUUUUGAAAUUAUAUCGGUAUACCUCAUAUACCGAUAUACCACCCAGCCCUAAAUAACAUGAUGCCAGUAAAUAAAUAGCAUAUAGUCGGAUUAAAGAUUUGUGAAAUUAUCAUAGUUAGCUCUGUCCAACCACAUUGUUUUGCAAUAUCUAUUAUAGUAAGUGGGUGGAGUGGUGGGGAUUUUAUAUGUUGUAGUAGCGACAAUGACUACUGUUGGUUAACAGAUUGAAAUCACCACUGUCACAAAGCUGCAUUGUGUCUGUUGCUAAAAACUGUAAGGUCGCAAAGAUGACGGUUUCUGCGGAAACACUGUGUGUUUUUAUUAUUGAUGGAGGAAUUGCAUCCCACAAGAAUGUGCCCACAUUUCUCAGUCUGACAGCACUCUCCUGGCAGCUCCUAACAGAAAAGUAUUAAGUAUAAAAGUGAGGACGGUGCUCCAUGACGUCCUGUUUGGGAGAGUGCAGAAGGUUUCAUCAUCUGGUCCAAGAGAUUCGCCUAGAUAGCACUUAUUUCAACGGUUAUUUUUUCAUUGCUGGAGCAGGGUGGGACUUAAUUUUAAAUAGGUUUAUUAUAAACAUUACCCACUUACUGUAGUUUGGAGAAGAUGUGCUUGUCAUGUCCAAAACAUUAAUAAUGCAAGGGAAAGGGUGCUGCCAUGCUAAAAGAAAGGCAUCCUAUGUGUUCCCGGCUGUAAGCUGAGUUGCUCAAGGUAUAAUGGUUAAACAAAACAAAUGCUUUUGGGAUAUUUUUCUAGCUACCACACCAGCCCAUGUGUGCAUGUUUGUGUGCGUGGUGGCGGUGGUGGGGGGCGGGCUUCUGAUGAUCAAAGCAAUGAGAAGUCUGUGCUCAGCAGGUAGGGAAUGUGUUUGGUGAGCUUGAAGGAAGUGUGAUCCACUUUAUAUACAAACCCUGAAAAUUUAGAAAAUCAUUCCACCAUAUGGACAUCACUGCAAGGGAAUCCUAAACUAAAGGAGUGGGAAAAAAUGCAGAAAUACAGAGAAAAUGCAAGAAAUAAAAAAACACACAAACCAAAGCAAACAACUCAGAGGCAUCUAUGUGAACCACAUUCCUUUUAUUGUUUUAUUAAUAUGAACAAACAUUGUCCUGUGUGUAUGAAUAAAAAUAUUGUUUCAGGGUAUGUAUUCAAAGGCUUCGGUCCCCAGUCCUCCCUUGUGAUGUCGCAGCUUGACAUUGGACAUGGGCAACCACAAUGGAUGACAUACAGAGAAUAUGUUACAGCCAACAAAGGACAGGGGCUGACAUGGCCGUCGUGUGUCAUACAGGCACGGGAGCUGACAUGCAACUAGAACUGUUUUAUAAUUCAUUUGAUCUCACCCGAGAAAUAAAGCAGCAGUCCCUGUCAAGAGCAUUUAAUCCAGGCACACUGUGAGUGAAGAUGUCAACAAUCUGUCAGCUCGAUUUGACGCGCAACUUGUCAUGCCUUCUGCCAAACACCUACACAGCUAAGUGACAGAGAACAAAGGAGUUGGAGAAUGAGGCGGGGCAAAGAGAAGCAAAACUUGACGUGAUAAAUCCAACAUGACAGCAGUGUCAACAUGUCACAAAACCAUACACACGUUGUCGAUUUUAAACUCACGCUUUUACAGUUAGCCUUUGGAUUCACCCCGCUUUCUCCAAAUGAAAUUUGGGUAUCACAUUUGGUCACUUCUCCACUCACAUGUGAAAUAUGAACUGUCUCCUAUAGAUCACUGAGCACUCUGUCCACAGAAAGAUGGACUCAGCAGUGUUAGAUAAUUUGCCUCUCUGGUCAGUUUGCAUCUCUAGUCCCUUUGCCAUCCUUUGGCAUGAAGGGAUCACAGACCGGCAGGGUUGGUAAACAUUUGCCUGCUGUCUGCAGAUUACUGACAUCGUGUCACAUGAUUUGCGGGCAUUAAAGCUCAUGUUUUUCACUGUUGACACCAUUUGCAGAAAAGUCGCACAGUGCACCUAACUGCGGUGAAAUACAGUAGCUUUUGUUUUACUCACCUUUUAUUAUGUCAGCUUCACAGACAUCUUAAUCUUGGAACUUAUUUCUGAUCACAAGAAAUAAAUUGAGAUGUAAAAAUGUAAUUGUGAAUGAUCACUGUUCUUGGCAAAGAAAAACAACAACAAAUAUAAUUACAGUUGCUUUGUAUAGCAUGAUUUACUGAUUCCCCAAUUUGGACUGCAGAUGUAGCAACCUUGAUCUAACAGAAUCGAUCCAGGGAGAAUUGUGUGCUGCUAAUUUAAGUCUCUACAUGUUACAUCAAAAUUGGUACAGUAUAUUUAUAAAUAAAUGGUAAGAAUAAAAAUAUAAAAUCUCUAUUCUUAAUAUCUUCAUAUAAAACUAUGUAAAUGUUAUUGAAGGGAGAACAUUUCAAUAAAAAUCUGGCCUUUAAGGAUGACAACGUGACAGCAUAUCAUGUUGCUAAAAGUUUACAUAUUACUAACUUGAGGUAAACAGAUUAAUUCCACAUCACAGAUUCUUGUCAAGCAUGAACAUGUCCCUAUAGAUAGUGAAACAUUUUGACAAGCCAAAUCACAGGUCAGAAACAAUGUCUUUUCUGUGUAAAUGGAAGAUAACAACGUUUGUGCAUUAGUAAAGUCAUAACUGUUUAAAGAGCAAGGGAAGGAUUUUUUCAAAGCUGUGAUAGAGUGGUAUUACCCUUUAACCUUAACUGUCCAUGUACUGUUUCUAUGCCAACAGCAGAGUCUUUUAGCUCUGGCUGGGUACCAAGUGAUUGUGUGUGUGUGUGUGUGUGUUGCGCUGUUCUGCUCAGCAGUUUCCUAUUUACUGCCGUAAAUAUUUCAUAUACACCCAUUUGCAAUUGUUGAACAUCUCAUUUCGGAACCAUGGGCAUUAAUCUGCUGCUAUAGCAGCAUCCACUCUACUGAUUCACCGGGCUGCAGUGACCACAAGAGCAUUAGUGAGAUCGGCCACUGAUAUUGGGCAUUAAGGACCAGCUCGUAGUCUGCAUUCCAGUUCAUCCCAGAGGUGUAGGAAUGGGGUUGAGGUCAGUGCCAGUCAAGUUCUUUCUCACAAAACUGGGUAAAUAUUUUUUUUUUUAUGAGGCAGGCUUUGUGCACAGUCAUGUUGAAACGGGAAAGGGUCAAACAUGAACUAUGGCCACAAAGUUAGAAGCAAACUAUUGUCUAAAAUAAUAUUGUAUGCUGUAGCAUUGAGAUUUUACUUAAUUAGAACUAAGGGGCCUUAACCAUGAAACAGCCUCAGACCAAAAGUGCAUGGACAGGGGUGUCCUCAAUCUUGUGCUUUUUGUACAAUCGCCUAACACUGCCUAAACAUAACUGGCCAAUAUUUGCUAAGCACAAAACAGCAUUCUGCCUGUAAUGUCAACAGCAGUUUUACUUUCUUGUAAGACACUUCUAUCAUAGUUGUUUCCAACAGGUACAAAAGCAGAGAAAUGCACUGUGGAAUGGCCAUGUGAGGUAAGAAUACAAUUGAGGCCAACUUUUUUAAGGAUUGAGAUCACAGCUCAGUGUUAUAUUUCCACAGUGCUAUAUAGCUUUCUGUAACUUAAUGGUCACCAAGAACAAGUGUGCCACUUAACAAAUGGCCUGCUCUGCUCAAUAUGCAAUUAACCUAUAUCGCGGGAUGGAAGUUUUCAGUCCACGCAGGAGAGUUUUGACAGAGUGAAUAUCUAAAAACGGCAGUAUACUGUGCAGAAAUCAAUCCCCUUUCUCUCCAUUGAUUCCAUUAAAAGCCUUUUUGGAGAUUGAUUACACUGAAAGCCUCCCUCCGCUUUGGAUUACAGUUGCACAGUUCCAAUCUCAUUUUUUACAGUCCAAAGAUAUGGGCAUUUAUUCUAUUACACUGCAAGGUGCAAAGCCUGGAGCCUGAACAUCAGAGACCACCCUUUUUUAAGAAUACUGCUUUGUACAGAUAGUAGAACAUCCGUUUGAGUAUUGGGUAUUGCCCUGCUUUCUCAGAUAAGUGUUAUCACUCUUGUCAUUCCCUUUCAAAGUCAGUUUUCUCCCAUCAAGAUCAAAAUGCAUGUUUCAUGUAAUCUGAAAAAUAAACUGUGCAAAGUGAAGUGAUUCAACCUGUUUUAAGUCCCUGUCGUGCUGCUUUUUACAAACACUGAUGAUAAUAUACACAAUUAUUUAAGUGUGGUAGGCGCUGUGUGAACGGUAUGCGGUAGCUCAGAGGUCUAAAAACCUAAGGAAAACAAAAUAAAUUGCAUAUAGAUUCCUUUGUAUGUUGUAGCUCUCAAUACAGCAGCCUUAUCUCUGUAAUGGAAUAUUUAUCAGUAAAGAGUACAGCAAAAAGAAUGUUGCCCAUGGCAACUGAAUGCAUUAAACAUUUUGUUAUUUUCUGGUGUUUGUAUAUCGACCAGAUAAAUGAUCAAGAAUAUUAAGGCCUGUAUAGGGGUCCCUUAUCCAGUGCCUUAUAGUAGCCAACUUGAGGGUAAACUCGGGGAUAGUGUCCUUGCUGUUGGAUUCAUUUAUCCGUCACAUAUUUCUGCUGAGCAUACCACUAUCUGUUAGUGGGAUGUUUAUGAAUAUAUCCACAAAAUGAUAUGAAAGCAAUAACACUUCACAAGAUCUGGGUUAUUUCACUAAAAAAAUCGAUCAGAUGCGUCUCUUGAAAUUGCAUUUCUCUCACUCCGGAGUUGUUUAAUAUUGCAUGUAUUUCACAAGGGUGCAGCUAUGUGUAUAGGGAGAAAGACAGCUGGGUUUUGCAUAUGGCUGUAUAUGACCUUUCCCUGGUCCACUGCGUUGCUUAGUGCAGUAUUUUGGCAGACUUAGGUGUUGUUGCUGAAUAGAUAAGACUCAUCCUGAAACCUGUCCCUGUGAGGUCUUGCUUCUCAGUACCGUGCUUGCAUUUUAAAAGGUUACUUUAGGAUGCCAACUUGGGCCUCCACAUUGCCCAAGGCUACUCCCCCGUCUCGCCAACCCCUCCUCAUGGUCCUCCUCUGGCAUCUACCAAUAGGACGUGGAUCAGGAGAAUGACAGGGGACAGGGUAGGGUGUGGGCACAGAGUUCAUGAGUUUUGCUUGGGCUGCCAAGUUGAGCCAGAGGACAGACAAAUCAAAGAGGCCUACAGUCACUGGACAUCUUUCCAAACAAAUUGAUGGCUCUAGUGUGGCCUUAAAAAAUCUUUUCAAUUUUCUGCAAGUGUCAACACAAUGUCUUAUGAUUAUUCAGUGCAAGGUUAUGCCUUUGUGUUCUUUUAUUUUAUGUACAAAUGCCCCCUCAAUGAGAAAAAAUGAGAAAAAUCCUUGAUAGUGAGGACAUUUUGCCUUUCUACAUCUCUGUAAGAGGUUUUGGUAAGUCCCUGAACUUGGGGUUAAGGUAGGAAUUAAGAAUGUAGCCUCAAUUAACUGAAUCAAUUAAAUGAAAAUGACUUAAUAAAAUACUGCUGAAAAACAAAAACAAAAGUACUAACAGUCACAUUUUUAAAUCCUUGCACACAAUUUUUAAAACUCAAACACUACAUUUAACCGUAUAGCAAUGGCUGGACUUUUUGAUUAUGAUGUCAUUGUAUACAGUGUUGCCUUUGUCACAUUCAAGGCGAAGUUUUCAUUGCAGUCACUUGUUUUCUUGCUGUUCACUUCCUUAAUUGGAAAUUGCUCACACACAGCAGACUGAAAACUUGACAGUGGGUCCACAUUUUCAGUUUUGCCUGAGUCCAUCUCGUCACUAACUAUAUCUACAGAGUUCAGUUGAACUCAGUGAAGGUGUGAUUGCUCUCUAUGUGGUCAAAGGAUGCACAAGAAAAAAAAGCAUAUGAACAUGUUUCCUUUAUCUACAGUAAAUUUGCUUCAACCUGUCCCUAUCCUUAACCAAGCACUUUAUACUGUAAUUGCACAGAUAUUGUAUGAAUAAUUCAUGUGAUAAAAAAACAAAAACGUU